GCCAGAGUUGAGAGGAUUUGAUAGAAUGUAAGAAGAAAAAGAAGAUUAAGAUUUGAACAGAACUGUAUGUUUUUUAUAACUAUGGGCAAUGCUUGUUUGUGCAUUUAUUAAUGAAUAUGUAGUUUACUGUUUUGAUAAAUAGAGCCAGAGUUAGGAGGAUGUGAUCUGAUAGAAGAAGAUUUAUUGCAUAAUGAGUUUAGCUCUGUAUGCUUGUGGGGGG
rnacentral:misc_RNA from 1 species